rnacentral:rRNA from 1 species
GAUGAACGCUAGCUACAGGCUUAACACAUGCAAGUCGAGGGGAAACGGCAUUAAGUGCUUGCACUUUUUGGACGUCGACCGGCGCACGGGUGAGUAACGCGUAUCCAACCUUCCCAUGACUAAGGGAUAACCUGCCGAAAGGCAGACUAAUACCUUAUGGUCUUCACUGACGGCAUCAGAUGUGAAGUAAAGAUUUAUCGGUUAUGGAUGGGGAUGCGUCUGAUUAGUUAGUUGGCAGGGUAACGGCCCACCAAGGCAACGAUCAGUAGGGGUUCUGAGAGGAAGGUCCCCCACAUUGGAACUGAGACACGGUCCAAACUCCUACGGGAGGCAGCAGUGAGGAAUAUUGGUCAAUGGGCGAGAGCCUGAACCAGCCAAGUAGCGUGCAGGAUGACGGCCCUAUGGGUUGUAAACUGCUUUUGUAUGGGGAUAAAGUCAGUCACGUGUGAUUGUUUGCAGGUACCAUACGAAUAAGGACCGGCUAAUUCCGUGCCAGCAGCCGCGGUAAUACGGAAGGUCCGGGCGUUAUCCGGAUUUAUUGGGUUUAAAGGGAGCGUAGGCUGGAGAUUAAGUAUGUUGUGAAAUGUAGACGCUCAACGUCUGACUUGCAGCGCAUACUGGUUUCCUUGAGUACGCACAACGUUGGCGGAAUUCGUCGUGUAGCGGUGAAAUGCUUAGAUAUGACGAAGAACUCCGAUUGCGAAGGCAGCUGACGGGAGCGCAACUGACGCUGAAGCUCGAAGGUGCGGGUAUCGAACAGG